rnacentral:rRNA from 1 species
UGGGGAAUAUUGCACAAUGGGCGCAAGCCUGAUGCAGCCAUGCCGCGUGUAUGAAGAAGGCCUUCGGUUUGUAAAGUACUUUCAGCGGGGAGGAAGGGAGUAAAGUUAAUACCUUUGCUCAUUGACGUUACCCGCAGAAGAAGCACCGGCUAACUCCGUCCCAGCAGCCGCGUUAAUACGGAGGGUGCAAGCGUUAAUCGGAAUUACUGGGCGUAAAGCGCACGCAGGCGGUUUGUUAAGUCAGAGGUGAAUUCCUCGGGCUCAACCUGGGAACUGCAUCUGAUACUGGCAAGCUUGAGUCUCGUAGAGAGGGGUAGAAUUCCAGGUGUAGCGGUGAAAUGCGUAGAGAUCUGGAGGAAUACCGGUGGCGAAAUCGGCCCCCUGGACGAGGACUGACGCUCAGGUGCGAAAGCGUGGGGAGCUAACAGG